rnacentral:snRNA from 1 species
CAAGGUGGACCAAAAUGUC